rnacentral:rRNA from 1 species
AGCAUUGUUAAGGAACUCGGCAAAAUGACCCCGUAACUUCGGGAGAAGGGGUGCCCUGUGAAAGCAGGGCCGCAGAGAAUAGGCUCAAGCAACUGUUUAGCAAAAACACAGGUCUAUGCGAAACCGAAAGGUGAGGUAUAUGGGCUGACGCCUGCCCGGUGCUGGAAGGUUAAGAGGAGAGGUUAGAGCAAUCGAAGCUUUGAAUUUAAGCCCCAGUAAACGGCGGCCGUAACUAUAACGGUCCUAAGGUAGCGAAAUUCCUUGUCGGGUAAGUUCCGACCCGCACGAAAGGCGUAAUGAUUUGAGCGCUGUCUCGACAAUGCACCCGGUGAAAUUGAAAUACCAGUGAAGAUGCUGGUUACCUGCGCCAGGACGGAAAGACCCCAUGGAGCUUUACUCCAGCUUGAUACUGGGAUUCGAUACUGUAUGUACAGGAUAGGUGGGAGACGUUGAACAUAGAACGCCAGUUUUAUGUGAGUCGCUGUUGGGAUACCACCCUUGCAGUAUUGGAUUUCUAACCUGCACCCAUGACCUGGGUGGGGGACAAUGUCUGGCGGGGAGUUUGACUGGGGCGGUCGCCUCCGAAAGGGUAUCGGAGGCGCUCAAAGGUUCCCUCAGAAUGGUUGGAAACCAUUCGAAGAGUGCAAAGGCAGAAGGGAGCUUGACUGCGACACCGACGGGUGGAGCAGGUAGGAAACUAGGACUUAGUGAUCCGGUGGCAUAAAGUGGGAUUGCCAUCGCUCAACGGAUAAAAGCUACCCUGGGGAUAACAGGCUUAUCACUCCCAAGAGUUCACAUCGACGGAGUGGUUUGGCACCUCGAUGUCGGCUCAUCGCAUCCUGGGGCUGUAGCAGGUUCCAAGGGUUGGGCUGUUCGCCCAUUAAAGCGGUACGCGAGCUGGGUUCAGAACGUCGUGAGACAGUUCGGUCCCUAUCCGGCGCGGGCGGAGGAUAUUUGAGAGGAGCUGUCCUUAGUACGAGAGGACCGGGAUGGACGGACCACUGGUGUAUCUGUUGGCUAUCGGAGCCAUGGCAGAGUAGCCAAGUCCGGCAGGGAUAAACGCUGAAGGCAUCUAAGCGUGAAGCCCCCCUCAAGAUGAGAUAUCCCUCCUUCGGGAGUAAGACCCCUUGAAGACUACAAGGUAGAUAGGGCAGAGGUGGAAGCAUGGCAACAUGUGGAGCUGACUGUUACUAAUAGGUCGAGGGCUUAAUCUG